GACGAACGCUGGCGGCGCGCCUAACACAUGCAAGUCGAACGGAGCUGCGAGAAGCUUGCUUUUCUUAGCUUAGUGGCGAGCGGGUGAGUAACGCGUGAGUAACCUGCCCUGGAGUGGGGGACAACAGUUGGAAACGACUGCUAAUACCGCAUAAGCCCACGAUCCGGCAUCGGAUUGAGGGAAAAGGAUUUAUUCGCUUCAGGAUGGACUCGCGUCCAAUUAGCUAGUUGGUGAGGUAACGGCCCACCAAGGCGACGAUUGGUAGCCGGACUGAGAGGUUGAACGGCCACAUUGGGACUGAGACACGGCCCAGACUCCUACGGGAGGCAGCAGUGGGGGAUAUUGCACAAUGGGGGAAACCCUGAUGCAGCGACGCCGCGUGGAGGAAGAAGGUUUUCGGAUUGUAAACUCCUGUCGUUAGGGACGAUAAUGACGGUACCUAACAAGAAAGCACCGGCUAACUACGUG
rnacentral:rRNA from 1 species